UAUUGCACAAUGGGCGCAAGCCUGAUGCAGCGACGCCGCGCGAGUGAAGAAGCAUCUCGGUAUGUAAAGCUCUAUCAGCAGGGAAGAANNUGACGGUACCUGACUCAGAAGCCCCGGCUAACUACGUGCCACCAGCCGCGGUAAUACGUAGGGGGCAAGCGUGAUCCGGAUUUACUGGGUGUAAAGGGAGCGUAGACGGCGACGCAAGUCUGGAGUGAAAGCCCGGGGCCCAACCCCGGGACUGCUUUGGAAACUGUGCUGCUGGAGUGCAGGAGAGGUAAGUGGAAUUCCUAGUGUAGCGGUGAAAUGCGUAGAUAUUAGGAGGAACACCAGUGGCGAAGGCGGCUUACUGGACUGUAACUGACGUUGAGGCUCGAAAGCGUGGGGGGCAAACAG
rnacentral:rRNA from 1 species